rnacentral:rRNA from 1 species
CAAUAGCGUAUAUUAAAGUUGUUGCGGUUAAAAGCUCGUAGUUGGAUUUCUGCUGAGGACGACCGGUCCGCCCUCCGGGUGAGCAUCUGGUUCGGCCUUGGCAUCUUCUUGGUGAACGUAUCUGCACUUGACUGUGUGGUGCGGUACCCAGGACUUUUACUUUGAGGAAAUUAGAGUGUUUCAAGCAGGCAUACGCCUUGAAUACAUUAGCAUGGAAUAAUAAGAUAGGACCUCGGUUCUAUUUUGUUGGUUUCUAGAGCUGAGGUAAUGAUUAAUAGGGACAGUUGGGGAUAUUCAUAUUUGAGCGUCAGAGGUGAAAUUCUUGGAUCGCUGAAAGAUGAGCUUAGGCGAAAGCAUUUAUCAAAGAUGUUUUCAUUAUUCAAGAACGAAAGUUAGGGGAUCGAAGACGAUCAGAUAUCGU